UCCGGCAAUAAAUUGCCGGGCUAUUUUCGGUCGUCCCUGCGGGACU
rfam:Desulfobacteraceae bacterium IS3 Ga0073107_10059, whole genome shotgun sequence.